CUUUUCUCUCGAGGGGGUUUUCUUUGUUUUUUCUUUCUUUUUUGUGUUCUUGGUUUUUUUGAGUUUUGAGAAGUUUGAUGGGAAGGGGUUGUGGGAGAC
rnacentral:ribozyme from 13 species